AUACACAACCAAACAACAUCCCAAAGGCACCAGUUCUUGUCUGAUCUUGGAAGUUAAGCAGGGUCUUCCCAGGUUAGUACUUGAAUAGGAGACUGGCAAGGAAUCUCAGGUGCUGUAGGUG
rnacentral:rRNA from 1 species